UUACGGCCACAUCACGUUUAAAGACCAGUUCCCGUACGAUCACAGAAGUUAAGGAACGUAGAGACUGAUCAGUGCCUAGAUGGGUGACCGCUUGCGAAUACCAGGUGACGUA